rnacentral:rRNA from 1 species
AUUAUAGCAAAGAGGAUACACCUGUUCCCAUUCCGAACACAGAAGUUAAGCUCUUAAGCGGCGAUGGUACUUGGGGGGUGACCCCCUGGGAGAGUAGC